CUAUGGUACAAAUUAGAUCAUCUUGACCAUGAUGGACAUACCACAUUGUUAUCAUCUGUUGUAUAAUGACAUGUUUUAUGACUGACAUUAUUUGCAAACCCAUACCUCAUCAAAAUCAUGCUCAUCUGAGUGUUUCUUUAGUGCUGGUUCCCUUUAUUGCUGUGGGAUGCAGCAAAGUGUCUGUAGCGGUGCCCUUUAUUUGUGGUCAGCAAAUAGCUGAGAUCAGGCUGAUUUAGGCUCUGAUGUGGUUGUGGUCUUUGAUCCCUGCACUGGCGAGCUUAUCGUUCUAUCUGCUGACUAGAUACGGCCACCUCCAGUGACACAUCGACUUCUCCUCCUGACCCUACAGGCAGCUCAGAGAUCCCUGGAUCACUCAGCAGUACACCAGAUGCUACAAUCUCGAGCCAGACAGACACCUCGUCUUUAACUACAAUGCCAUCUCCGUCUGGUCCAACACUCACAGUCGUACCCACAGCACCUGACCAGCCAGUUUCCACAGCACCAGAUGUGAUACCCGAUGUGGCCACCACAGCAACCGACACCAUGACAGCAACUACUGGCUUUGUUACAAGCAGUCCAUU